UACGUAGGGUGCGAGCGUUGUCCGGAAUUAUUGGGCGUAAAGAGCUUGUAGGCGGUUUGUCGCGUCUGCCGUGAAAAUCCGGGGCUCAACCCCGGACUUGCGGUGGGUACGGGCAGACUAGAGUGUGGUAGGGGAGACUGGAAUUCCUGGUGUAGCGGUGGAAUGCGCAGAUAUCAGGAGGAACACCAAUGGCGAAGGCAGAUCUCUGGGCCGUAACUGACGCUGAGGAGCGAAAGCAUGGGGAGCGAACAGG
rnacentral:rRNA from 1 species